UCCACCGUGCCGUACUCUGAAUCGUUGUCUCCACCGUCGGAUUCCGCUGCGUCGUGGAGCUUUGAAUCGUACUCCAGCGCCUCGUGCCAUAUCUUCACAUUCCACCGUCAGAAUCCGCUGCGCCGUGGAGCUCUGAAUGCUGUCUUCACCGUCAGAGUCAGCUGCGCCGUGGAGCUUUGAAUCGUACUCCACAGACGAAAUGUUAUAUUUCAAUCUCACGCACGCAUUGGGCAGCUUUCGUCAAAUUAAGGCCAGUUUUUUUAUAGCUUUUUCUGUGUAGCUCUUCUCUUCAUAUAUAAUUAUGUUGAUUUGAAUCUGACUAGGAAAAACUUCUAGCGGUUCUAUGUAUUUGAAUCUAUGAUUUGAAGAAAUGAUCUGUUAUCACUCUCAAGUAUGCAUUUGUCUCUAUAAAAUUGGUUCUUGUCUGAUGUUGCUGUAGAAAUUGGUGCUCUUUUUGGUCUGAACUCCAGAUGGUUAGGUUUCUAGAGGUGCCUUUAGUUAAGUUAUUAAGCAUAUGAAAUUAAUACUGGUUCCCUUAGAUAAUUCUACAACAAUCAAGAUAAUUUGUUUUUACUUUAUCUCAUUCUUUAGGUAAAAUAAAUUAGCCAAGAUGACAAAUGACAAGAUGAAUAGAGGAGAUGGUGCUCUAAGAGGAGAUAGCCUUGUAAAAAAGCUCAUUCUUGAUUACUUUUGCAAUUAGUCCCCUCAAAAGUUUUAAAUAAUUAUAGAGCCUUUAUUUUGAUGCAGUCUUCUAGCAGCACUGGCCACGGCACCAUGAGGUUUUGGAAUUUGCAUCGACACUUUCUUCCUCUGAGCUUGCAUGGAUUCUUGAUUCACAAUGAUUGUGAUGGGAACGUCUUUCUUGUU
rnacentral:lncRNA from 1 species